UAUUCGUUAGUGUAGAAAGCACGAAAAGGUUUGAUUUUUUAAGAGGUGGUGCAAUUCCAUUACGUAUAU
rnacentral:tRNA from 1 species